UACGUAGGGUGCGAGCGUUGUCCGGAUUUAUUGGGCGUAAAGGGCUCGUAGGCGGCGUGUCGCGUCGGGAGUGAAAGCCCGUUGCUUAACGGCGGGUUGGCUUUCGGUACGGGCAUGCUGGAGUGCGGCAGGGGAGACUGGAAUUCCUGGUGUAGCGGUGAAAUGCGCAGAUAUCAGGAGGAACACCAAUGGCGAAGGCAGCUCGCUGGAACGGUACUGACGCUGAGGCGCGAAAGCGUGGGGAGCGAACAGG
rnacentral:rRNA from 1 species